GCAGCACUUGUCCCGGAGGCUUUGUAGACAGAGUGACUGAACGAAAACCUAAAUGAGAAAUAGGAACAACAUGUUUAGAAGAUGAAGUGUGGAAGCCUCGGCAGCUUCAGUAUGCUGUGUACCUCAUCUUGAACUCUUUCACAUGGUGAUUCCUACACAUAAUUGCACACUGUAUGUGUUUAGCUAUCCUAUCUUACAAAGACUUAUGCCAACACUGUAUCUGCCUUUCCUCAAUACAAUAUAAAAAGUGCUGCAUAGACCAUUUAGAGAAGCAAUGUCUCGUGACUUUUACUGUAUGUUUAUUUUUGAGCAAGUGUCAUUUGUUUUGUAAAAUAUCUUUGCAGAUUUUCUUUUCAUGCCUGGACACUUUUUUUAAUUUCAAAUAUUGCUUUGAAUUGAUGCAAAUUGAAGAACGUGAAUCCCUGGUAAUA